UAUCACCAAGGCAGUGGCAGCUUCUA
rnacentral:piRNA from 1 species